CGCAGCUUUACACCUCUGGAUGCAUGGACUACUUCUUUUGUGAACUGAUCCCUUUAACUAAAGCCAGUUCUGUGAUGACAUCAUUGCAUGGGAUGUGACAUCAUUUUGGAGGGAAAGCACCAGCACCAGCACCAGCAUUAAUGCUGUUGAUAGAGCUUAACUCAUCCUGAGGCCGGAACAUUCCCGUAGCAGCAGAAGUGCUGGAAUGCCACAUGGUUUUAAUGCCCCACCCAGCGCUGGAAGGAUGACAUGCAGUGCCCCGACCCC